UAAUAAAAAAUAAAACAAAAAAUCAUUCAAAAUAUUUAUUUUAUUAUUGAAAUAAAAAUUAGAAGAGAAUUUUAGAAUUUUGAAAAAAAAAAAUUGAUUAAAAGAGAACGGAGAGAUGAAAGGAGAGUACGUAGUUUAUUUCGGAAUGGAACAAUCUCAAAUUCAAAAUCAGAUUAAAUUAUAACAAAAAAAUGAACAUUUUUUUAAAAAAAAUAAAACUUAAAUCUAAAUUUAAUUUUUUAUAAAAUAAACGAUAAUUAUCAAAAUUAAUAAAUUUUAUUCUGAUUUUAUAAU
rnacentral:lncRNA from 1 species